AAAAGAAGACAAGACGAGAUGAAAGCGCCACGAACAACUGCAGCGACUCGGAUUCCAUCGUCGAAAUAUGUGCAGUUCCUCAACAGAAGAAGAAGACAAUACCAAAGCAAACUUGUAUCCAAACAAACUCCAAGGGAACUAACAGACGUCGAGCGAGGUCCUAUUCGACCUCGAUGUUCACAUGGUGCUAUGGUGGGAAUGAUCAUUGCGAUGAAGAUGCAGGACAAUCUUACUCUCUUCAUUACGUCGUGACUGACCCCGGGGCUCAACAGAAUAUUGUGAUUAAAGCGACAGAAAAAAAUGCGGCAAAAAUUCAAGCGAAUGGGCAUCAGAAUAAGAGCAGUAAUGAAAGUGACGAUGAUGAUGAGAAGGAGGGGAGAAUGAAGAGAAGGCCUUCUUAUGUUGAAAUGAUGAACUCGCUUCCUCAAUGAUAACCAAUAAUUCCAUAAUUGUAACGUCACCAAAAUGAUGGUAAUUCACCACGGCAAGGCGAAAUCUCGCCAAAAGCGUCUACUGGUCGAAAGCGACAACUGUGGCAAAAACUUAAACACAGAGGCGAA